rnacentral:sRNA from 1 species
GACGAGGAUGAGAACCUCCGGGGGCAAGAGGUUCGACCCGAGCGAAGCGAGAGAACGUUGCUUCAGCAACGGCCCGCAGGGCGAGCCACGCAGUGGCGAGUCAUCCUCUAUCACCGACCA